UACGGAGGGUGCGAGCGUUGUCCGGAUCUAUUGGGUUUAAAGGGUGCGUAGGUGGGUUAAUAAGUCAGUGGUGAAAUACGGUUGCUCAACAAUCGAGGUGCCAUUGAUACUGUUAAUCUUGAAACAAGUGGAGGUUGCCGGAAUGGAUGGUGUAGCGGUGAAAUGCAUAGAUAUCAUCCAGAACACCGAUUGCGAAGGCAGGUGACUACGUUUGAUUUGACACUGAGGCACGAAAGCAUGGGGAGCAAACAGG
rnacentral:rRNA from 1 species